rnacentral:piRNA from 1 species
UCUUUUAUGAAUGCCUGACUGUCCGG